rnacentral:rRNA from 1 species
AAUCAACGCUGGCGGCGUGCCUAACACAUGCAAGUCGCACGAGAAAGGGUCUUCGGAUCUGAGUAAAGUGGCGCACGGGUGAGUAACACGUGAAUCAUCUACCUUCGAGUGUGGAAUAACUGAGAGAAAUCUUAGCUAAUACCGCAUAAUACCUACGGGUCAAAGCAGCAAUGCGCUUGAAGAGGAGUUCGCGGCAGAUUAGUUAGUUGGCGGGGUAAUGGCCCACCAAGACGAUGAUCUGUAUCCGGCCUGAGAGGGCGCACGGACACACUGGAACUGAAACACGGUCCAGACUCCUACGGGAGGCAGCAGUGGGGAAUUUUGCGCAAUGGGGGAAACCCUGACGCAGCAACGCCGCGUGGAGGAUGAAAUAUCUUGGUAUGUAAACUCCUUUCGAUGGGGAAGAUAAUGACGGUACCCAUAGAAGAAGCCCCGGCUAACUUCGUGCCAGCAGCCGCGGUAAUACGAGGGGGGCAAGCGUUGUUCGGAAUUAUUGGGCGUAAAGGGUGCGUAGGCGGUUUGACAAGUCUUGUGUGAAAUCUAUGGGCUCAACCCAUAGUCUGCACAGGAAACUGUCGGGCUUGAGUAUGGGAGAGGUGAGUGGAAUUUCCGGUGUAGCGGUGAAAUGCGUAGAUAUCGGAAGGAACACCUGUGGCGAAAGCGGCUCACUGGACCAUAACUGACGCUGAUGCACGAAAGCUAGGGGAGCAAACAGGAUUAGAUACCCUGGUAGUCCUAGCCCUAAACGAUGAUUGUUUGAUGUGGGGGGUACCCAAUCCUCCCGUGUCGAAGCUAACGCGAUAAACAAUCCGCCUGGGGAGUACGGUCGCAAGGCUG